AUGGCGGACACAGAUCACGCCGCAACUGCGGGGCGCCGGCGUCUUCCACUACGUCGACGGCACGUCCACCGAGCCGGCCAAAACCCACAUCACCAAAGAUGCUGCUGGGAAGGAAACCGAGGGGCCAAAUCCUCUUCAUCCAAUUUGGGUGAGGGAGGACCAGCAGGUCCUGGGAUACCUGCUCCAAAACCUCUCAAAGGAGGUGCUCGUCACGGUGACCGCGAUCACCACGGCGAGGGAACUCUGGGUGGCGCUGGCGAGCAUGUUCUCGUCGCAGUCACUCAGCCGCGUCAACAACAUCCGUACAGCGCUGAUCAAUGCGCAGAAGGGCAACCAAUCGGUGGCCGCCUACUUCGCCGCCAUGAGGGGCCUCGCCGAUGA
rnacentral:rRNA from 1 species